AUUGAACGCUGGCGGCAUGCUUCACACAUGCAAGUCGAACGGUAACAGGCCGCAAGGUGCUGACGAGUGGCGAACGGGUGAGUAAUGCAUCGGAACGUGCCCAGUCGUGGGGGAUAACGCAGCGAAAGCUGCGCUAAUACCGCAUACGAUCUAUGGAUGAAAGCGGGGGACCGUAAGGCCUCGCGCGAUUGGAGCGGCCGAUGUCAGAUUAGGUAGUUGGUGGGGUAAAGGCUCACCAAGCCAACGAUCUGUAGCUGGUCUGAGAGGACGACCAGCCACACUGGGACUGAGACACGGCACAGACUCCUACGGGAGGCAGCAGUGGGGAAUUUUGGACAAUGGGCGCAAGCCUGAUCCAGCAAUGCCGCGUGCAGGAAGAAGGCCUUCGGGUUGUAAACUGCUUUUGUACGGAACGAAACGGUCCUGGUUAAUACCCGGGGCUAAUGACGGUACCGUAAGAAUAAGCACCGGCUAACUACGUGCCAGCCGCCGCGGUAACAC
rnacentral:rRNA from 1 species